UACGUAGGUGGCGAGCGUUGUCCGGAUUUAUUGGGCGUAAAGAGCGUGUAGGCGGUCCGGUAAGUCCGCUGUGAAAGUCGGGGGCUCAACCCUCGAAUGCCGGUGGAUACUGUCGGGCUAGAGUGCGGAAGAGGCGAGUGGAAUUCCUGGUGUAGCGGUGAAAUGCGCAGAUAUCAGGAGGAACACCUAUUGCGAAGGCAGCUCGCUGGGACGUUGCUGACGCUGAGACGCGAAAGCGUGGGGAGCAAACAGG
rnacentral:rRNA from 1 species